GGGUUGUGAGGUUAAGCGACUAAGCGUACACGGUGGAUGCCCUGGCAGUCAGAGGCGAUGAAGGACGUGCUAAUCUGCGAUAAGCGUCGGUAAGGUGAUAUGAACCGUUAUAACCGGCGAUUUCCGAAUGGGGAAACCCAGUGUGUUUCGACACACUAUCAUUAACUGAAUCCAUAGGUUAAUGAGGCGAACCGGGGGAACUGAAACAUCUAAGUACCCCGAGGAAAAGAAAUCAACCGAGAUUCCCCCAGUAGCGGCGAGCGAACGGGGAGCAGCCCAGAGCCUGAAUCAGUGUGUGUGUUAGUGGAAGCGUCUGGAAAGGCGCGCGAUACAGGGUGACAGCCCCGUACACAAAAAUGCACAUGCUGUGAGCUCGAUGAGUAGGGCGGGACACGUGGUAUCCUGUCUGAAUAUGGGGGGACCAUCCUCCAAGGCUAAAUACUCCUGACUGACCGAUAGUGAACCAGUACCGUGAGGGAAAGGCGAAAAGAACCCCGGCGAGGGGAGUGAAAAAGAACCUGAAACCGUGUACGUACAAGCAGUGGGAGCACGCUUAGGCGUGUGACUGCGUACCUUUUGUAUAAUGGGUCAGCGACUUAUAUUCUGUAGCAAGGUUAACCGAAUAGGGGAGCCGAAGGGAAACCGAGUCUUAACUGGGCGUUAAGUUGCAGGGUAUAGACCCGAAACCCGGUGAUCUAGCCAUGGGCAGGUUGAAGGUUGGGUAACACUAACUGGAGGACCGAACCGACUAAUGUUGAAAAAUUAGCGGAUGACUUGUGGCUGGGGGUGAAAGGCCAAUCAAACCGGGAGAUAGCUGGUUCUCCCCGAAAGCUAUUUAGGUAGCGCCUCGUGAAUUCAUCUCCGGGGGUAGAGCACUGUUUCGGCAAGGGGGUCAUCCCGACUUACCAACCCGAUGCAAACUGCGAAUACCGGAGAAUGUUAUCACGGGAGACACACGGCGGGUGCUAACGUCCGUCGUGAAGAGGGAAACAACCCAGACCGCCAGCUAAGGUCCCAAAGUCAUGGUUAAGUGGGAAACGAUGUGGGAAGGCCCAGACAGCCAGGAUGUUGGCUUAGAAGCAGCCAUCAUUUAAAGAAAGCGUAAUAGCUCACUGGUCGAGUCGGCCUGCGCGGAAGAUGUAACGGGGCUAAACCAUGCACCGAAGCUGCGGCAGCGACGCUUAUGCGUUGUUGGGUAGGGGAGCGUUCUGUAAGCCUGCGAAGGUGUGCUGUGAGGCAUGCUGGAGGUAUCAGAAGUGCGAAUGCUGACAUAAGUAACGAUAAAGCGGGUGAAAAGCCCGCUCGCCGGAAGACCAAGGGUUCCUGUCCAACGUUAAUCGGGGCAGGGUGAGUCGACCCCUAAGGCGAGGCCGAAAGGCGUAGUCGAUGGGAAACAGGUUAAUAUUCCUGUACUUGGUGUUACUGCGAAGGGGGGACGGAGAAGGCUAUGUUGGCCGGGCGACGGUUGUCCCGGUUUAAGCGUGUAGGCUGGUUUUCCAGGCAAAUCCGGAAAAUCAAGGCUGAGGCGUGAUGACGAGGCACUACGGUGCUGAAGCAACAAAUGCCCUGCUUCCAGGAAAAGCCUCUAAGCAUCAGGUAACAUCAAAUCGUACCCCAAACCGACACAGGUGGUCAGGUAGAGAAUACCAAGGCGCUUGAGAGAACUCGGGUGAAGGAACUAGGCAAAAUGGUGCCGUAACUUCGGGAGAAGGCACGCUGAUAUGUAGGUGAAGUCCCUCGCGGAUGGAGCUGAAAUCAGUCGAAGAUACCAGCUGGCUGCAACUGUUUAUUAAAAACACAGCACUGUGCAAACACGAAAGUGGACGUAUACGGUGUGACGCCUGCCCGGUGCCGGAAGGUUAAUUGAUGGGGUUAGCCGCAAGGCGAAGCUCUUGAUCGAAGCCCCGGUAAACGGCGGCCGUAACUAUAACGGUCCUAAGGUAGCGAAAUUCCUUGUCGGGUAAGUUCCGACCUGCACGAAUGGCGUAAUGAUGGCCAGGCUGUCUCCACCCGAGACUCAGUGAAAUUGAACUCGCUGUGAAGAUGCAGUGUACCCGCGGCAAGACGGAAAGACCCCGUGAACCUUUACUAUAGCUUGACACUGAACAUUGAGCCUUGAUGUGUAGGAUAGGUGGGAGGCUUUGAAGUGUGGACGCCAGUCUGCAUGGAGCCGACCUUGAAAUACCACCCUUUAAUGUUUGAUGUUCUAACGUUGACCCGUAAUCCGGGUUGCGGACAGUGUCUGGUGGGUAGUUUGACUGGGGCGGUCUCCUCCUAAAGAGUAACGGAGGAGCACGAAGGUUGGCUAAUCCUGGUCGGACAUCAGGAGGUUAGUGCAAUGGCAUAAGCCAGCUUGACUGCGAGCGUGACGGCGCGAGCAGGUGCGAAAGCAGGUCAUAGUGAUCCGGUGGUUCUGAAUGGAAGGGCCAUCGCUCAACGGAUAAAAGGUACUCCGGGGAUAACAGGCUGAUACCGCCCAAGAGUUCAUAUCGACGGCGGUGUUUGGCACCUCGAUGUCGGCUCAUCACAUCCUGGGGCUGAAGUAGGUCCCAAGGGUAUGGCUGUUCGCCAUUUAAAGUGGUACGCGAGCUGGGUUUAGAACGUCGUGAGACAGUUCGGUCCCUAUCUGCCGUGGGCGCUGGAGAACUGAGGGGGGCUGCUCCUAGUACGAGAGGACCGGAGUGGACGCAUCACUGGUGUUCGGGUUGUCAUGCCAAUGGCACUGCCCGGUAGCUAAAUGCGGAAGAGAUAAGUGCUGAAAGCAUCUAAGCACGAAACUUGCCCCGAGAUGAGUUCUCCCUGACCCUUUAAGGGUCCUGAAGGAACGUUGAAGACGACGACGUUGAUAGGCCGGGUGUGUAAGCGCAGCGAUGCGUUGAGCUAACCGGUACUAAUGAACCGUGAGGCUUAACCUUACAACGCCGAAG
rnacentral:rRNA from 1 species